ensembl:misc_RNA Metazoa_SRP Metazoan signal recognition particle RNA
GCCAGGCGUAGUGGCGGGUGCCUGUAGUCCCAGCUACUCAGGAGGCUGAGGCAGGAGAAUCGCUUGAACCCGGGAGGUGGAGGUUGCAGUGAGCCAAGAUCGCGCCACUGCACUCCAGCCUGGGUGACAGAGCGAGAUUCUGUCUCAA